rnacentral:rRNA from 1 species
UUGAAAUAAACCUGAUGAGUUGUUGCUGGUUCUCUAGAGAGCAUUGUGCACACUUGUCAUCUUUAUAUCUCCACCUGUGCACAUUUUGUAGACCUGGAUCACUCUCUGAAAUGCUAACCAGCACUUUUAGGUUGGAGGAAUUUGACUUUGUUGUCUUUCCUUGCAUUUCUAGGUCUAUGUUCUCUUUCAGAUAAUCUUAUUGUGAAAUAAUGGACCCUAUAUAAUAUAAACUUAUACAACUUUCAACAACGGAUCUAUUGGCUCUCGCAUCGAUGAAGAACGCAGCGAAAUGCGAUAAGUAAUGUGAAUUGCAGAAUUCAGUGAAUCAUCGAAUCUUUGAACGCACCUUGCGCUCCUUGGUAUUCCGAGGAGCAUGCCUGUUUGAGUGUCAUUAAUAUAUCAACCUCUUUAAAUUUUGAGAGUGUUUGGAUGUGGGGGGGGUUAUUUUGCUGGCCUUCUCCAAGGUCAGCUCCCCUGAAAUGUAUUAGCGGAACAAUUUGUUGACCGUUCAUUGGUGUGAUAGCAUAUCUACGCUAUUGACGUGAAGCAAGUUCAGCUCAUAACAGUCCAUUGACUUGGACAAUUCUCUAUUUAUUAAUGUGACCUCAAAUCAGGUAGGACUACCCGCUGAACUUAAGCAUAUCAAUAAGCGGAGGAAAAGAAACUAACAAGGAUUCCCCUAGUAACUGCGAGUGAAGCGGGAAAAGCUCAAAUUUAAAAUCUGUCAGUCUUUGGCUGUCUGAGUUGUAAUCUAGAGAAGUGUUAUCCGCGCUGGA